rnacentral:rRNA from 1 species
AUUGAACGCUGGCGGAAUGCUUUACACAUGCAAGUCGAACGGCAGCACGGACUUCGGUCUGGUGGCGAGUGGCGAACGGGUGAGUAAUACAUCGGAACGUGCCCAGUCGUGGGGGAUAACGUAGCGAAAGCUACGCUAAUACCGCAUACGAUCUAAGGAUGAAAGCGGGGGAUCGCAAGACAUCGCGCGAUUGGAGCGGCCGAUGGCAGAUGAGGUAGUUGGUAGGGUAAAGGCCUACCAAGCCGACGAACUGUAGCUGUGCUGAGAGGAUGAUCAGCAACACUGGGGCGGAGACACGGCCCAGAAUCCUACGUGAGGCAGCAGUUGGGAAUUUUGGAAAAUGGGCGCAAGCCUGAUCCAGCCAUUCCGCGUGAAGGAUGAAGGCCUUCGGGUUGUAAACUGCUUUUGUACAGAACGAAAAGGCUCUGGUUAAUACCCGGGGCUCAUGACUGUACUGUAAGAAUAAGCACCGGCUAACUACGUGCCAGCCGCCGCGGUAA